rnacentral:rRNA from 1 species
UCCCUCAGUAAUGGCGAAUGAACAGGGAUGAGCUCAGUAUGGAAAUUGGGGCCUGUGGCCUUGAAUUGUAGUCUGGAGAUGUACCACCAACUGGGGCGCAGAUGUAAGCCUCUUGGAAAAGAGCAUCAAUGAGGGUGAGAGUCCCGCAUGGCAUCUGCAGUCCCCAGUGCACGGUGUACCUUCUAAGAGUCACGUUCCUCGGGAUUGGAGCGCAAAUCGGGUGGUAAAUUUCAUCUAAAGCUAAAUAUAGUUUCGAGACCGAUAGCAAACAAGUACCAUGAGGGAAAGGUGAAAAGGACUUUGAAAAGAGAGUUAAAAGUGCCUGAAAUUGCUGAAAGGGAAGCGAAUGGAACCAGCGAAACUUGGCAAGAUUGCUGUGUGUCAAUGUGAUUGCUUGCUGCUGCAACGUAAGUGUGGUAGUAAGUCUUGAGCAGGACAUGCUCGGUGUUUCUUGCCUUGUGUGUCACCUGUGGUUCGUGAUUGAGGAAAACUUCAGGGACAUGGUAGCCUGUCUCCGGGUGGGUGAACGUGUCUGCUGGAACUCAUUCGUGGACUGCUUGGUGACUAAAUGGUUUCAUCCGACCCGUCUU